CCGCUACUUGCGGAAGGACCGUGCGCGAAAUUCCGCCUGCGGUUGACACACUGCCGAUCGGCCCCGAACGCUGACUACUAUGGGACUCCACCAUAGGUCGUUCUGGAAGAUGUCUGCUGGGUCACAAAUUCAGAUGGCACCCCAAUCAACUGUAAACUCUGGUCAGUCGGUUCAUAGUCAAGAUUCGAACAUGAGCACUGGCUCAUCGCACAGUGAUAAGGAGGUGGAUGCAAACACUCCGGAAAAAGUAUCACGGACUGCUACUGAGAGGAAGAGAAAGCGCAAAGCGGAUGAUGGAGGUGGGGGUGUUUCAGGAGGACCUGUAGGGAGUAAAGGCGCUAGAUCAGUCGCUGCCCUUGAUAAUAAGAAAAUCAAUGAGUAUUUCCCAAAGCAUCAUCUGGGUAAUAGUCCUAUCCGGCACGGUGGAGCCAAGAGCCCUUCUCCUCAACAGGCUUAUUCUAUGUAUCCACCAUCGCCUCAACAGUUACUUUCACCCCAAGUAACAACACCCAAUUCUUCGGUGGCGGAAUUCUCUUCAAUGAUGCAGCCGCCAAGACCUCAUCCACAACCUCCACCUCCUCCUCCACCAGCUUCAACACAACCUGCAGGCUCCAUGGUCAGCAAGCAGGUGCAGGUAAGGCCUACCAACCUCAAUAGGACAAGCCAGGUCAGGCAAGCGAAGACUAACACCCCAAAUACAGAACUUACUUGCCAGAGGAUACAGGAAUUUGAAACUCAAGCUUCUUCGGACUUAGAACUACGUAACAGCAAAAUUGAAGAAUUAAAUAGGACAACGGACGAACUUAAGCUUCAAGUGGCUAAUCAAGUGAAAAUGAUUGAGCAGCACAAAUCACAUAUAAAUAAGUGUAUAGACGUUGUAAAGAAGUUAUUAAAAGAAAAAUCAAACAUAGAAAAAAAGGAGGCUAGGCAGAAGUGUAUGCAAAAUAGACUGAGGCUGGGUCAGUUCGUUACGCAGAGGGUGGGCGCCACCUUUCAAGAGAACUGGACCGACGGUUACGCGUUUCAGGAGCUCGCGCGGCGACAGGAAGAGAUAGCGACUGAACGGGAAGAGAUCGAUAAGCAGAAGAAGUUGCUGCUCAAGAAGAGGCCGUCGAACAGCGAGACUGGCAGAAAACGUAGUCAACCGCAAUCCUCCCUGCAUAAUGGCACCGAGGCGACGUUCUUGAAGCCAGAUGCAGUACCUGGGUAUACAUGGCAGGAGUAUUAUGAAGCUGACGAAAUACUCAAGUUAAGGCAAAGCGCGUUGAAGAAAGAAGACGCGGAUCUGCAAUUAGAAAUGGAGAAGCUCGAGAGGGAGCGGAACCUACACAUCAGGGAGCUGAAGCGUAUUCACAACGAGGACCAAUCGAGAUUCAACUCCCAUCCUGUUUUGAACGAACGUUACCUUCUACUAAUGUUAUUAGGAAAAGGUGGUUUCAGCGAAGUGCACAAGGCAUUUGACUUAAAAGAGCAACGGUAUGUGGCUUGCAAAGUGCAUCAAUUAAAUAAAGACUGGAAAGAAGAUAAAAAAGCUAAUUAUAUAAAGCAUGCGUUGCGAGAAUACAAUAUACACAAAGCGUUGGAUCAUCCACGAGUCGUAAAAUUGUAUGAUGUAUUUGAAAUUGAUGCCAAUUCCUUUUGUACCGUUCUGGAGUAUUGUGAUGGCCAUGAUUUAGAUUUUUACCUCAAGCAGCAUAAGACUAUACCCGAGAGAGAAGCGAGAUCUAUUGUUAUGCAAGUCGUAUCGGCAUUAAAAUACCUCAAUGAAAUAAAACCCCCAGUCAUACAUUACGAUCUAAAGCCAGGUAAUAUCCUAUUAACCGAGGGCAACGUGUGCGGCGAAAUAAAAAUCACGGACUUCGGUUUAAGUAAAGUCAUGGACGAGGAGAAUUACAAUCCGGAUCACGGGAUGGAUCUAACGUCACAAGGAGCGGGUACUUAUUGGUACCUGCCCCCUGAGUGUUUCGUCAUUGGCAAAAAUCCUCCCAAAAUAUCGUCCAAAGUCGACGUUUGGAGUGUAGGAGUUAUAUUUUACCAAUGCCUAUAUGGUAAAAAGCCUUUUGGCCACAACCAAUCGCAGGCUACCAUUUUAGAGGAGAAUACGAUACUAAAGGCCACGGAGGUUCAGUUCGCGAAUAAACCGACCGUCAGCAACGAAGCAAAGAGUUUCAUAAGAAGUUGCCUAGCGUAUAGAAAGGAGGAGCGCAUAGACGUACUGACAUUAGCUAGACACGAAUACCUGCAACCCCCAGUGCCAAAACAUGGCCGCCAAGCGAACAGCCAGCAGCAGCAGCAACAGCAGCAGAUACAGCAGCAGCAGCAGCAAAGUUCGUUCACUAUUGGCAUGUUUAGCGGUAUGAACGCGUCGAGCAGUUCGUAGUGGAGAGGAAGGACUAAGGACAAGAUCCUCGAUAUACCAAUACAUGCCAAAUCUUGAACGCUCGGACUGCACACCAUCUCAUCUUUAGGGAAAUAACGAUUGCUAUAACCAAUUGUCGACGACUACAUAGGACAUUGCAAGAGAGAUGCGAGACUGGUCACCGCAAGUCCAGGAGCUUGCGUCUUUCUACAAGCCACGCCACAUUAUUCAGCAUGACAAAAAAUGUUGUGUUCGUAAAUAUUCAAUUGUAUUAUCGUUCCUUGUAUCAAACAGUGCGCUGACUUGAUAAUAGUGUUUAAAAGAGACGACGAGAGAGUGAGAGAGAGAGAGAGAGAGAGCGCGCGAAAGAGCGAGAGAGAAAGAAAGAGAGGGAGAGCAAGUGCGCAAGAGAGAAUGCGAACGAACGAACGAGCGAGCGAACGAAAAGUUAAACAUGUGAUAAGUCAUUGUGAACUAAAAGUGACGUUUAGAUUAAGGGGGAGGGGGGCGAGUGGGGAAACGAAGCGUAUGUGGAAAAACAAAAGAGAGAAAGAGAGAGAGGGGGGACAGCGAUAAAAGCAAAAAGAUGCAACAACUGGAAUACCUGGUAUAGAAGUAAACCUAUUCGGAAAAAUAAAAUAGCAGGUCAAGGCAGCAACGAAUGAUGAAGGAUGGAGGGGGAGGGGGUGGAACAAAAGUAGGAACGAAAAGAAAAAAAGAACAUGAGAAAAGCAAUCGGAGCAAUCGCUUUUACGGAGACGUUCCUCUCUCCUGGCGUUUAGUGUGCGUGAGAGAGCGCUAGAGGAUUGUUAAAAUUAGCGUGAGUGUAUAUAUUUAUACUAUAUAUAUAUAAAUAUAUAUAUAUAAACUAAUAAAUCCGACAUAAUAUAUAUAUAUAUGGUGUAAAAAGGACAAGCAUUGACAGUGGGAAGACAACUGUGGUGGCUCUAUCCUCGCAUGACUUUCGGCGCCAGCCCGGCAUUCCAUGAAUGCUUGACUCGCGCAUCAUGUUACUUUAUUCGAAUAUUAACAUUAUUACUUGUAUCAUGACUAAUAACGAUUAACAUACACGCGCAUCCACGCCCACACACGACACACACACAUACACGACAUGACACGAUACACGAAGGAGAUUUGGUUGGUUGUUCCUAUUCUGAGACGAGAGUGGGCUUUUAUCUAUGCCGGAACGAUAGACCGAUAUAAAGAAAAAGAGAGAGAGAGAGAGAGAGAAAGACAACAAAGUGAGAGAUCGCAAGUAGAGAGAGAGAGAGAGAGAGAGAGAGAGAGAAUCGCGAUGUGCUCCCAAAGUGAAAACUGAAAAACGAAAGAACACUAAAAUUGUAAUCCACCAUUACUAUCACCACCACCACCACCACCACCACCACCACCACCACUUGUAAAAUCCGUUCUUACGCAUACAUAGUUUAAAACUCCGUGGCGAUCCGUCGUAAUGAAGAAGUACGUUAGGCGUUUACGUUUUCCUCCUUCACUCUUCCUCCUCUUCUGUUUUCUCUCUUUCUCUCUCUCUCUCUCUCUCUCUCUCUCUCUCUCUCUCUAUUUCUCUCCUUUCAUUUACCCCUUUCUUCAAUAUAACAAGAGAGCGGAUAUGUAUGUAAAAGAGCGACUAAACAUGUUUAAUAAUCUGGCGGUAAUGAGGAGAGAAAAAGAGAGAGGGAAAGAAAGAACAAAUUUAAAACAGGCAGAAAGAAAGAGAGAAAGAGUAAAGUUUUAAGAUAAAAGCGUCGGGAAAUGCUGUACCGAAUCGAUCAUUAUUUCUUUACUCGUAAUUUGUUUUAUAUAUGUAUGUUAUAUAUAGAUAAUUAUGAAAUAGAAGACUAAGUUAUUUUAUCAAGUGCCCUUGCUUUGUAUUAUAGUCGCGUCCGUCGACAAGCCGCAGCUUCUGGGAGUAAAAGAGAGAGAGAAAGAGAGAGAGAGAGAGAGAAAUGCGUAUUAGAGUGAACGUGAGAAAGAAAGAAUGAUUGAGCGAAUGUGUGUGUACGUGUGUGUGUGUGUUGUUAAAAAGUGUUGCGUCAGUUGUUGGUACAACGUGGGCACCGGGUAUUGACGACUCAAUACCAUCAAUGUGAUUGGCAAGUGUGGUGAGAGAGGAGAAUACAUUACAAGUCUGAAGAGUCUACUACUAGA